UACAGAGGUCUCAAGCGUUGUUCGGAUUCACUGGGCGUAAAGGGUGCGUAGGUGGUGAGGUAAGUCGGAUGUGAAAUCUCCGAGCUCAACUCGGAAAUGGCAUUGGAAACUACCUUGCUCGAGGGUUGGAGGGGGGACUGGAAUGCUUGGUGUAGCAGUGAAAUGCGUAGAUAUCAAGCGGAACACCAGUGGCGAAGGCGAGUCCCUGGACAACUCCUGACACUGAGGCACGAAAGCUAGGGGAGCAAACAGG
rnacentral:rRNA from 1 species